AACGAACGCUGGCGGCAGGCUUAACACAUGCAAGUCGAACGCCCCGCCAGGGGAGUGGCCGACGGGUGAGUAACGCGUGGGAACAUACCCUUUUCUACGGAAUAGCUCUGGGAAACUGGAAUUAAUACCGUAUACGCCCUACGGGGGAAAGAUUUAUCGGGGAAGGAUUGGCCCGCGUUGGAUUAGCUAGUUGGUGGGGUAAAGGCCUACCAAGGCGACGAUCCAUAGCUGGUCUGAGAGGAUGAUCAGCCACAUUGGGACUGAGACACGGCCCAAACUCCUACGGGAGGCAGCAGUGGGGAAUAUUGGACAAUGGGCGCAAGCCUGAUCCAGCCAUGCCGCGUGAGUGAUGAAGGCCUUAGGGUUGUAAAGCUCUUUCACCGAUGAAGAUAAUGACGGUAGUCGGAGAAGAAGCCCCGGCUAACUUCGU
rnacentral:rRNA from 1 species